CUUAAUUAAUCCAAUUAAUUAUUUCCAUCAUCCAUUAAUUACUCACUACAACAGUGUAUCGGUGUACAAUCAUUUUAGGUUCUAAUUAGCAAGGCAGUGAGGUGAUUGACAUCAAUCCAAUUGAUUAUAUUUAAUCCAAUCACUUCGUGAAUUAAAACUUCCUUUUAAUUCACCUUUCUUCUUUGAUGACUACAUUUAAUCAUCUAGAAGAACUCACAAGCUAUGAGUGACACCUAACCAUAUGUCAUAGCUACCCAAGCUAAUGUAGAAGUUGUUCGGAGAACCUAUUCAGUUGGAAUUACAAUGUAAUUUGAUCCUUCUCUAAAACAAUACUCUCAAUCACAUUACUAGGGUAUGGAUAUAUUAUAUCAAACCCCUAAUGUGAUUAUUCCUUCUUAUAUGAUUCUAUUGAGUCGUAUAGGAACAUUUUCCUUUAUUACGCUCGAUACUUCGGCCGAAGAUUCCCGAAUCAUAUCUUAGAGCAUUCUUCCUCUCUUAUCGAGGAUUAGAGAUUCCUUGUUGCGCAUUCACUUGCCUUCAUGACUAAGUGGCUUAACCCCAAUUAUGCCGUGGACACCCACGAAUGGGGUGACUUUACAUAAUCAAAGAUUAAGUACUUAGCCACAAGACAACGACGAUGCCUCAGGUCAAAGGACUACUUACAUUAUUCCAAUCAUUAGAGUUACUUGAUUGACAUGUGAGUAGACCUCCAUGCAAGUACUCUCGUUCGAUUGUGUUCAGUGAACUCAUUCCCUUAAUGAGCACCUACAUACUUGUCUUAGUGUCACUACACGAAUGGGAUGAGACUUUCCAUUCUUCCAUUUGAAGCGGACACAGUAUGUACCGGUCUAAGCAUUGUCAGUUUCCCUCCGACAAUCCAAUGACCAGGAACCUUUUUAGACAUAAUGGUUAUGUGAAGAAGGUCUCUGUAGUCUAACAUCAUUAGAUUACUUCUUCAAUCGAUCCAUUGUCCAUGGAUUCACUAUUUAGGACAUAUAUCGUUUAUUGAGAUAGUCCUAAUUAGUAUCUUUGCCAUUUGAUGUAUAAGAGUCAUCUAUACAUCGAUUCAUUUGU
rnacentral:lncRNA from 1 species